UACGGGGGGGGUAAGCGUUGUUCGGAAUUACUGGGCGUAAAGGGCUCGUAGGCGGCCAACUAAGUCAUACGUGAAAUCCCUCAGCUUAACCGGGGAACUGCGUGUGAUACUGGAUGGCUUGGAUUUGGGAGAGGGAUGCGGAAUUCCAGGUGUAGCGGUGAAAUGCGUAGAUAUCUGGAGGAACACCGGUGGCGAAGGCGGCAUCCUGGACCAAUACUGACGCUGAGGAGCGAAAGCCAGGGGAGCAAACGGG
rnacentral:rRNA from 1 species